AAUAGAUACCCUGGUAGUCCACGCCGUAAACGAUGAGUGCUAAGUGUUGGGGGGUUUCCGCCCCUCAGUGCUGCAGCUAACGCAUUAAGCACUCCGCCUGGGGAGUACGGUCGCAAGACUGAAACUCAAAGGAAUUGACGGGGGCCCGCACAAGCGGUGGAGCAUGUGGCUUAAUUCGAAGCAACGCGAAGAACCUUACCAGGUCUUGACAUCCCGGUGACCACUAUGGAGACAUAGUUUCCCCUUCGGGGGCAACGGUGACAGGUGGUGCAUGGUUGUCGUCAGCUCGUGUCGUGAGAUGUUGGGUUAAGUCCCGCAACGAGCGCAACCCUUAUUCUUAGUUGCCAUCAUUCAGUUGGGCACUCUAAGGAGACUGCCGGUGAUAAACCGGAGGAAGGUGGGGAUGACGUCAAAUCAUCAUGCCCCUUAUGACCUGGGCUACACACGUGCUACAAUGGACGGUACAAACGGUUGCCAACCCGCGAGGGGGAGCUAAUCCGAUAAAACCGUUCUCAGUUCGGAUUGUAGGCUGCAACUCGCCUACA
rnacentral:rRNA from 1 species